AGAUGUUGCCUUCAUUCUAGACGGUGGAGAUCGGAAACUCAUUCUCCGGCAAGGUUUCGUGCAUGUUGAACAGUAGCUCGUUCAUUUUCAGGUAAGCUCGGUUUUAUUCAGAUCCAGGGAGACCUUACCGUGGGAUCAUUAUGAUUUUGAGAUAUAUUAUGCACAACUCUAUGAUAUGUAGUCUGACCGUUGGGUUUAAAACAAUAAUCAGACGUUGAUG
rnacentral:lncRNA from 1 species